rnacentral:rRNA from 1 species
ACACGUAGGGGGCGAGCGUUGUUCGGAAUCAUUGGGCGUAAAGGGCGUGCAGGCGGUCGUGCAAGUCCGGCGUGAAAGACCCCGGCCCAACCGGGGGGACGCGCUGGAAACUGCAGGGCUUGAGUACAGGAGGGGAUGCCGGAAUUCCAGGUGUAGGGGUGAAAUCUGUAGAUAUCUGGAAGAACACCAAUGGCGAAGGCAGGCAUCUGGCCAGGUACUGACGCUGAGACGCGAAGGUGCGGGGAGCAAACAGGUUUAGAUACCCUGGUAGUCCGCACAGUAAACGAUGUGCACCAGGUGGCGGGGGGUCGACCCCCGGUACCGUAGCUAACGCAUUAAGUGCACCGCCUGGGGAGUAUGCUCGCAAGGGUGAAACUCAAAUGAAUUGACGGGG